rnacentral:tRNA from 1 species
GCCGGGGUGGUGGAAUGGCAUACACGGAUCACUCAAAAUGAUUUGUCCGAGAGGGCAUGCGGGUUCGACUCCCGUCCCCGGCA